GGAAGAUUGGCAGAGUUUGGUUUAUUGCACAGGUCUUGAGUACCUGCGGGGGUUAAUAGCCCUCCGUGAGUUCGAAUCUCACAUCUUCCU
rnacentral:tRNA from 2 species